AGUGAACGCUGGCGGCAGGCCUAACACAUGCAAGUCGAACGGCAGCACAGUAAGAGCUUGCUCUUACGGGUGGCGAGUGGCGGACGGGUGAGGAAUACAUCGGAAUCUACUUUUUCGUGGGGGAUAACGUAGGGAAACUUACGCUAAUACCGCAUACGACCUACGGGUGAAAGCAGGGGAUCUUCGGACCUUGCGCGAUUGAAUGAGCCGAUGUCGGAUUAGCUAGUUGGCGGGGUAAAGGCCCACCAAGGCGACGAUCCGUAGCUGGUAUGAGAGGAUGAUCAGCCACACUGGAACUGAGACACGGUCCAGACUCCUACGGUAGGCAGCAGUGGGGAAUAUUGGACAAGGGGGGCAAGCCUGAUACAGCCAUACCGCGUGGGUGAAGAAGGCCUUCGGGUUGUAAAGCCCUUUUGUUGGGAAAGAAAAGCAGCAGGUUAAUACCCCGCUGUUAUGACGGUACCCAAAGAAUAAGCACCGGCUAACUUCGUG
rnacentral:rRNA from 1 species